CGUAGUAGAGUGGUUAGAACAUCGGCUCCUCACGCCGAAAACCCGGGUUCAAUUUC
rnacentral:tRNA from 16 species